CAAAAGAGUAAUGCCAUUAUCUUCAAAUAACAGGCUCAUGACCUCAAUGCAGACAGACAGCAGCAAAAGACAUGAUCACACUCAGUGGGGCAAAAAAGACAAAGAACUGAGCCAAGCUUUCCAUUGGCCUUAAUAUGGAAGUGCUUCUCCAGCAUCUUCUGAAAGACAAGACGUGCAUCUCCCCUGACAUCACCCAGCAGGAAACUACCAGAAAUUAAGGGCCCAGCCUUGCAAAUAUAUUGUCAGAUGACACCAAGAUAACAGGCAGUGUUUGAUCUGUUUGAAGGCAGGAAGAGUCUGCAGAAGGAUCUGGACAUGCUUGAUUGAUGUGAUAAGACCAACUGUAUGAGGUAAAUCUUCAAGAAAGCAAAGUGCCAGAGCCUGCUGAGUCACAACAACUCCAGGAAGCACUACAGGCUGAGGGCAGAGUGCCUGAAAGUGUGCCCAGUAGAAAAGGACCUGUUGGGCAACACCUGGGAGUCUUGCCCACAGCUGGCUGAAUAUGAACUAUCAGUGUGUCCAGGUAGCCAAGAAGGCCAAUGGCAUCCUGGUAUGUACAAGCAACAAUGAGGCCAGCAGGACCAGGGCAGUGAUUGUCCCUCUGUACACAGCACUGGUGAGGCCACACCUUGAAUUCUGGGUCCAGUCUUGGGCUCCUCUCUACACGAAAGACAUUGAAGUCUGUGAGCGAGUACAGAGAAGGGCAAGAGAGCUGGUGAAGGGUCUGGAGCCCAAGUCCUAAGAGAAGCAGCUGAGGGAGUUGGCAUUGUUGGUCUGGAGGAAGAAGAGGCUCAGGGGGAACCUUAUUUAUCUUUACAGCUGAAAGGAGGAUGUAGUCAGGCAUGGGAUCAGUCUCUUCUCCCAAGAGACAAGCAGUAAGACAAGAGGAAAUGGCCUCAAGUUGUACCAGAGGAGGUUAGAUUGGGUAUUAUUAAAAAUGUCUUCCCCAAAAGGGCUGUCAAGCACUGGAACAGCCUGCCCAGGAAAGCAGGGUUUCACCAUCCAUGGAAGUAUUUAAAAGAUAUGUGUACGUGAUGCUCUGCAGAUGGGGUUUAGUGUUGGACUUAGCAGUGCUACAUUAACAGUUGGCCUCCAUGACCCUGGACAUUUUUUCCAACCUAACUGAUUCUAUGAUUUUAUGGACUGAGACUAAAUUCCUAUUUCUCAAGAAAUAGCAAGCAGGCAAGCCACUCUACCAGUGGUCACUCAAAUAAAGCUCUGAGUCUUGCCAUAGGUUGCCAUACAGAGGAAAGAGAAGAUGUGCAAUGUGCCAUCACCAGGGCACAUAUGGUAGAAGAAGCACCCUUCGGAAAGAAUCAAUGCUUGUCUCACAGAUGAACUACAGCACAAGGAAGAUUAUUUACUUGUAUUGAGUCAGUAAUAUCUUCUUAAAGAGAUAACAAAAAGCUAACAGGUCAGCAACAUCUGCAUGUUGGUAUAAAAUCCCUGUUAAGCUUAGAGAAGUUAAAAAAAUAGGCUCUUGGGACAUAUGAUAAAUAAACAUAUAAAGCCCACUUGCCUCUUCCCCAGAACAGCAGUAGAACCCUCAUAACUUCAUUUUUGCUGCCCUCCUAAGGCAAAUGCUCCUCAAACACUGAUGGUUAUGACUCUUAUUUUUUUCUUUCCAUUGUUACACUUGACAUCUUGCUCUUGCACCAAAAAUUGCACCAGCAACAGCCUUAAAAUAAACAAUAACCCCCUGCUGGUUUUAGUUCCUCUUCAAUCACUUUAUCUUGUCACUCAGCCUGGCCUGGCAUUCCACCUGUUGUAGGACCUACAUGCAUGCAUGUAUCCUGUGUGAGACUCUUACCCCUCAAAUGCCCAGUUCCUGUCUUGGACAGCUCACAUUGGACCAAAUCUAUCAACGUGUGGAUAGUGGUAACACACUCAAAUGAAUUAUGGGGCAAAAAGUUCAGAAAGAAUUUUCAGCCAAUGAAAACAUAAUAAGGAUUUAUAUACUCACAUCUUUAAACUGCUUUAUAAGGGAUAUGUUGUCUUUAUAUAGGGGAAAAAAUAUACCUUUAUAUUGGUA